UUGAAGAUAGGAGAGCCUUUCUAUCCCUGAAGGUAGGUAAUGGAAACAAGAUCCUAAAUCCAAGACCACCAACUUUUUCAAAGAAGUGAUUUGAUCUAUUUUGCCUAGUUCAUUGAGUCCAGCAAAAACCAAAAACUGAAGGUUGCGGAGCUUUUGAACGAAUAUGGUACUUCUUAAGGCCUACAAUACCACUUAGAUUCAAAUAUGCCAAGCGUUUAAGAGAGGAAAUCCAUUCCACGAGUUCCUCUGUAGAGAUCUUCUCCAACUUAGUCUGGGAGAAAUCCAACACUCUGAGAGAACCAAGCAACCCAAAAUGCCUACCAAAAACAACUUGAUCAUUGGUUGACAUUAUCAGCAAGGCUCUGAGCUUUGAACUUUUCUUCAAUGGUUCUGGGUUCAUUUCACUUGUAAAACCCAACCAACGAGAAUUUGCAGUCAUUUCCUGCUUGCCCUGUUCAUCAAAUUUGCCAAAUGACUCUUCCUCUGCUAUUCUAGUGGCCAGUUCCCUCACCAUGUCAUGCAUCUUGCAACAGUAGACUCUUCCAUCAUAUCCUCGUCUAUUCACAGCUUCAACCAAGCACCUAGUGACUAGUUCAGAGAGGUAGCGAAAACCCAAUUCUUUUGCGGUUUUUGAGCCCUUGCCCUGGAUUAGCCCCUCUGCAACCCACCAAUGGACCAGUUGCUCUGCUUGUAUCUCCGAGUCUUCAGGAUAAACGGAGAAACACAAUAGACAUUGUUUUAAAUGUAUUGGAAGUUCAUCAUAGCUCAGUUGAAGAGACGCCAUCACUGAGGUAAAAUUUCUUCCGGCAGUCAGUUCAUGAAAAUUUUCAUUGAUUUCAUUCCAUUGGAGAACUGAAUUUGAUCUUGGAGCCAAAAGUGCUGCUACUGCCUUGAUUGCCAGUGGAAGUCCCCCGCAUUUCUCCAAGAGUUCUUUACCAACUCUUUCGAAUUGAGCAUCUGGGCAUUUUCUAUCCCUGCACCUGGAAAACGCAGAUUUGCUGAACAGCAACCAGCUAUCAUUGGCUGUUAGCAAUUUUGGCCGAUGAAUCCGUGACUUGUCAACUCCCAUGCUAGUUAAGACUUCUUCGUUUCGAGUUGUGAUUAUGAUGCAGCUGCUUUCUCCAACUGCACUCUGCAACCCUGAGAAAAAUUGAACCACCAUCCUUGAUUAAUGUUCCACACAUCAUCCAUAACAAUGAGGCAUGACUUGCCUUUAAGUAGUUCAUUGAGUUUGUGCAACAUUUGAGCUUCAUCAGACACAGAGCAACGCGAUUCUAAUUGUUCCAGCAUGCUCCUCAUGAUCCUCAUGUCAUUUGAAACUUGAGAAACCGACACCCAAAUCAUGUUAUCAUAACGACCAGCUACAUGUUGAUCAUUAAAAAUUUUCUGGGCAAAGGUGGUUUUACCCAAGCCUCCCAUCCCGACGAUGCCGACUAGGAGAAGUUCAUCUUUUGUGUCACCAAUCCAGCCUCUUAACCUUUUCAAAUCCUCUUCUAGUCCAAUUAUCUCAGACGGAACAUAGUCCUGUGCUGUGUAUUUCAUACUCUGGGAUGUGUUAUCUCCAUGGUCGCUCUGGUCCUGGUAUUUUAAAUGCUCGCCUAGUGACUUCUCCAUCUCCCCCAGUUGUGCAUUAACGUCCUUCAACUUCUUGCCUGUUUGAUACCAGAACAGUGGCUUCUGAAGUGUCAAACUGGUGCAGGAUGCUUCUUUCUGAUAUUCGUCUCUAACAAGACAAUCUGUCAUUAUGUUGUCAGCUUCGUAAAUUAGGUCUCUCAAUCUAAUCAAAAUGGCCUUGACAACUUUCUUCUUUUCCUUGAGGUUCUCUGUGUCAGCAAGCAGGGCCUUUGUAAGGUCUAGCCUGGUCUUCAUCAAUUCGAACUGAUCUUUGAAGUCAAGUGCAAAUCUAGCAUGUUCUUGCAGAGCUGUGAACACUUGUUUUGUCAGGCUUUCAAGCAUAGCACCUACUACUGCCAUCUUCUUGUAUUUUACCUGUAGAAGAAAGGUCUUUUUUUUAUUCCAUAGUCAUCUAUAAUGAUAAAUCACGAAUGCGAUACAAUCUAAAGCGUCCUACAGACCAUAUAGAUUUUAAACUUCAUUCCCAUCUGUACCAUUCUGAAAUUCGAACAUUUCAUCAAUUACAUGCAAGUAAAUCAUAGAAUUUCUAUUUUCUAGUCCUUGAAAAAAACAUUUGAUUAGAAAAAUGGAAGGCACGUCCAGUUUCAGCAACAACCUACGUUGGCAAAUUGACUCCUUGGUUCAACGCAGGAAACCUUAUCUGAUCACUCGUAACUCAACAUAACAAAUGAACAGCCUUUAAAAGAGAAAUUGAGUUAGAAAUGCUUACCGAUGGCCGCUUAUAGAUCUUGAAUAUUCAGGGCGGAAAUUUAAAUCCUGAAAGGACAGAAAAAGUUUAUCAAUCAAAGAACAUACGGUAGAAGUGAAAGCAUACCUAAAUGGCCUGAAGACUAAGAUGGCCAUGAGAGCAAGAAAAAGAAAAAAUCACCUUGCUGCAAGUGGUGGAGUUCGUCUAGCCGUACUAGAGAUUAGAAUAAUUUUGGGGUCAUCAUUGCUUGUAUAAAAGGGCUGAGGUAUAGACGCUUUGUUAAAGCCACUUUCUCUUUUUCGGCAUUUAUAGGGGAAAAAUAGAGGAAAAACAAAAAAGAAGAAGAUAAAUAAUGGGGCCACCACUAAAAAUGACCUAUGGAUUCCACAACAUCUAUUUUAGACUUGUCAAGAUAGUAAAUUCCCUUCAAAAUUAUUUUUCUUGAUAUUCCUUGUAGAUAUUCAAGAAUAAGGGAAUUAACUAAAUUUUUUUUUAAUUUUUGCAAUAUUGUGUCCUUUGGAUGACUAAAUUGAUGCAUUUGAUUUUCUUUAGUUGUCUCUCUCAAAUAAGUUAAGAAAACACACAUCCAAAAACUUGGUGAAAACAAGAGCCAGCUUUGUGAAAACAAUAUUUUCCAAGAAGAUUCCAAUAAAAAAGACCAGGGAGAUCAAGGAAUAAAAGAAAACAAUGAGAUAAAUAUCCAUAAAUAUAGAGAAAUUGACAAACCACACAAUCGCAAGCUAUAUCGACCAUCAGGGCUUGCAGGACAGACUGCAAAUCGUUCCAAGGUAUUGAUCUCUUUGAAAAACACACAAGGACUUCAAGGAAAAGAAACCAAGGAGAUAACUAAAUAAAAUCAGAUCUUCACUUUUGUUUCUAUUCCAAUAACAAAUGAAUUAAACCACAAUUAUCUUAAGAAUUAUUGAGAUAGAUAACAGAUUAUGUUCAUAAAUCUUCUUCUCUUAGUGUUUACCCCGUAAUUCUCUGUCUCCUAUCCAGCCCAUUCUCCACAUGAAAGCCAACAGCAGCAGCAGAAACAAAAUACAGCUUACUGCAAUCACCGCGAUUUCCCAAGGACGUAGUUUUCUGGGAACUUUGGAAACAAAAAACAACAGCUUGUAUAAUGCAAGCAAUAAUUUAUUCUCAGAGUAACAGAAUUCUGGGUGUUAUGAGAAAAGGGUAAGUGUUGCUUCCUUUCCUACCACGGGUGACUGAAAUAGCUGAUAUGAGAGGUCCAUUGAUAGCAGGUGGAUUGUACAGAGAUCCUUUGCCAGUCCAGAAGAAAUGGAUCUCCAACAAACCAUCACGUAUUUUGGUUCUUCAUUUUGUCCUCCAAGAGCUUCCUUUAUAUCGAGGUCUUUCUCCACUCUCUCUUUCUGCCAUCAAGAGUUCCUUAAGAGUGUGAUAUUACUACAUAAAUUGACAUUCUGAAAAGUGAAAUACUUACCUGAAUAUACACAUCGAACACGCGUUUCCCUACUCUGCUGUUAUCUUCUCCCUUUGAAUAUAAUGUUUCAGCAAAAUGAAGUAUCACAUGGUUCUUGCCUUUACUCAAGCAAAGCCCAUAAUUGUUAUCUAAUUUUGCCUCGGGACUAGAAACUUCACAUGUCGAGUUUCUUACUAAAGUAUUGUCAUUGAUUUUGGCCCACAAGUAGUCUCCAGAAUAGCUAUAAGCCCAAUCCUCAUUUGGACUUUGAAAAAAAUUUGAUGUUGAGGUAUCGUUAUGAUAAUGGGCCUUUCCCACGGUGACCUCCUCGCCACCACAAUUUAUAAACAAUGAAUUAUCUGCGAGAAAAGUUAUUUUCAGUAGAAAUAUGAUUGUUCCCCAUAAAGUGGAUAGAAUUCAGUAGAAACAUUUCUCUCUAUAUUAUUAUCAAUGAUUAAGUUCGAUGAGAAUAUCAUCAAUAGACCUCUUUUCUAAUUUUAGUGACUUCCUUCUUCUUGCAAGGAAGUGUUAUGUUCAAACCCACUCUUUAGAGAGUUCGAGACUGAAAAAUGCCCUUUUAAGGAGACCAAAAUAGCUCCUCAACUUUGGCCAUGGUGGCCAAUCUAGUUCAUGUACUAAUGCUAACUCCUAGACAGUUUGUCUAAUGACUAAGGAUUGUAGCAUUCUAUCCGUGUAAAGAAAGAACAAGAAGGUUUAAAUAACUAAUUCCAAUUUGAUAUAUAGUUUAUGCGCAACAACUUCAUUUAGCUAUCAGAAGAAUGAACAUACACUUUCGAUGACAUUCCUUCUGCAUCAUCUUAUCUAUGAAAGAUCUAAGAAAUUAACAGAGAAAUUUGUUAGAAAUAUUUUGUAGCACCCGACAUCGCGGCGGCCUUAAAAAUUUCUUUAAAUCUUUGGAAAGAACGGAUUUCUGACAUUCUGUUCUUUGAUGGGAAUAUUCUUUGUUUAAGGAGUCGCCACCUAGUAUUAUGGUUACUAGGAACCCUAACUAGUCAACAGAGAUUCUAUGAUCCGAGACUGAUUAUGUAAAAGGAAAGAUAUUAUCGCUCCUUAAACGUCCUACCUAAGGCAGGCUACAUUGCUGAUCUUUGUUAUUAAUUGCUAACAUUUUUUAUUGGUUUAUUCUAUGAUUGCUUGUGUGUAAUAUCCCUGACUCUGGCGCCAGUGAAUAUUCAACUACAGAUAUUUCUAACUCUGGCGUUUGUAAAUAUUACAUAGGUAUCAAAAUAAAUAAAUUAAAAUAUCAUUUUUUUUUUAUAUUCUUGACUUUGACGUCAGUGAAUAAACAAAUAGAAAUCAAUUUAAAUUUUUUACACAUACACCUUUUUUAUUUUUUAUGUAGCUAAAUAAAACAACAACAAAAAAAAUAAAAUAAAUUUACAUUAGUAUUUUUUUAUUCCUGACCCUGGCGUCAAUGAAUAUACUAAAUAAAUUUAUCCUAUUUUAUCUGAUGUGAAUAAAAAAAUAAAAAUCAAUUCAUUUCUUUAUCAAAAUUUUUUUUUUUACGCAUGCGAAAAAAAAUAAAAUAAAUUUACCUUAGUAUUUUUUAUUCCCGACUCUGGCGUCGGUGAAUAUACUAAAUAAAUUUAUCCUAUUUUAUCUUAUGUGAAUAAAAAAAUAAAAAUCAAUUCAUUUCUUUAUCAAAUUAUUUUUUACGCAUGCGAAAAAAAAUAAAAUAAAUUUACCUUAGUAUUUUUUAUUCAUGACUCUGGCGUCAGUGAAUAUACUAAAUAAAUUUAUCCUAUUUUAUCUUAUGUGAAUAAAAAAAUAAAAAUCAAUUCAUUUCUUUAUCAAAUUAUUUUUUACGCAUGUGAAACAAAAUAAAAUAAAAUAAAUUUACCUUAGUAUUUUUUAUUCAUUACUCUGGCGUCAGUGAAUAUACUAAAUAAAUGUAUCCUAUUUAAUUUUAUGUGUUUUUUUUGUCAAUGAAUAAAUAAAAAAACAAUAAAUUCAUUUAUGUAUAUAUUUUUUACCUACACAAUUUUUAUUAUAUAUUUGUUUAUAUUUUUUUAUUUUUGGGCUGGGCUGGGCUAAAUCCAGCCCAACAGGUGGCUGGGCUCAGCUCAGCCCCACAGGAGCUGGGCUGAACCCAGCCAGCCCGGCCCGGGUCACUGGCCGAAGCCAGUGACCCGGCCGAAACAAGAUGCACGCGUGAUACAGAUCACACGUGCAUCAACAGUGCGAAGGUAAUUAAAUUACCUUCGCACUGUUCAAACAAUUAUUUGAACACGAGGAACAGAGAAAAAAAUGAAAAGGCGCACCAGUUUCUGGCGAUUGAAGAAGACGGCAACGCUGGUGUGGCUGCUUUGAGUCGGCUGCUUUUUGUUUCUGGCGAUGCUGAGGCAGGUUGGAACGACGGUAUGGCUCGACUGCUCUAUGUCAAUAACCCACGGUUCGGUGAUCAAUUGGGUUUCUGCAGGGGCGAAAACAGUUCGGACGAAAAACGGUUUCUAGCAGGGACGAAAUCUGGAUUGAUGUUGCUGUUCUUCUCUUCCUCCUUUUUUUUUUGUGUUUUUGUUUGCUCUUUUUUUUUUUUUGUUAAUUGCUCUGUUUUUGGGUUUUUUUUUUUGUUCGGUUUCCUGUUCUUAGCUCUGUUUUUCUAGGUAAAUUCUGGGUUUCUCUUUCGUUUCUUUCUGGGUUUUUUCUGGGUUUUUUCUUGGUUUUUUUCUCUAGUUUUUUCCUCCUUUUCUUCUGGGUUUUCUUCUUCCUGUUUAUAGCCAAGCUAAACCCUCCCCCUGCGUCCUAUCUUUGCAGGACUGUGUUUAUGCCUCCACCACCGAGAUCAUCGACAAGAGACGUGGUCCAAGAUCAGAUUUGUUGAGGAUUAUCAGCUCCCCUGUUGAAUCGGGAGCUUCCCUGUUGAAGCGGGAAGGAGAAGAACGCACGGCUGUUGCUUAGCAACGGUGCCGUUUUGGCUGGAAAACGGGAAUUUUCAAUUUGACCCCUGAACUUUGGAAAUUCUGCAAUUGGACCCCUAAACAAAUAUAAAUUUCUUUUAAUUUUGCCCUUUUUUGGAUAAAUUUCAAUUAAAUCUCUAGAUUGGUACACUGUUUACAAAACAGUCCUUAAUUCCUGGAUUAUUCAAUUUGGUCUUUAAUUAAUUCUUUGCCCCCUUUGGAUAAAUUUCAAUUAAGUCCCUGAAUUUAUUUAAUUAAUUAAAUCAAAGUUUAAUUAAGUCCACAAACUUAUUAAUUCUUCUAAUUUUAUUAAUUAAAAUAAUCUAAAUUUUAUGUAAAUUUCCAAACUUAAUAAUUCUUUAAUUUCUGAUCAAUUUAUUUUCAAGUCAGAUAAUUUCAUUCCUGAACUUUGAAUUUGCAUUAUUUUAAUUCCAUUCUCAAAUAUAUUUUUUUAAUCAUUGAUUUUGUAUUCUUUAUUAAAAAUUGGGCUAUGACAGUUGCUCCCUCUUUAUAAUAUUUACGAUGCAAAUAUAUUGAAAAAUUUCAUUUUUUUUAGCUUUGUAUAGUAAAUUUAUAAAGAGGGAGCAACUGUUAUAACCCAAUUUUGAAACAAAUAAUAAAAAUUAAAUAUAGUUGACAAUGGGGUUAAGACAACAAAUUUUGAAGAUUAGGGAUAAAAUUAUCAGAUUUGAGAAUAAAUUGGUCAGAAAUUGAAGAAUUAAUAAGUUUGGAAAUUUACUUAAAAUUUGGAUUAGUUUAAUUAAUGAAAUUAGAAGAAUUAAUAAGUUUGUGGACUUAAUUAAACUUUGAUUUCAUUAAUUAAAUAAAUUCAGGGACUUAAUUGAAAUUAAUCCAAAAGGGAAAAAUUAAAAGAACUAAUAAGUUUGUGGGCUUAAUUAAACUUUAAUUUGAUUAAUUAAUUCAGGGACUUAAUUCAAAUUAAUCCAAGGGUAAAAUUAAAAGGGAUUUUAAUUGAGGUCCAACUGUCCAAAAUUCCAAAGAAAGCAGGGGUCAAAAUGAAAAUGUCACUUUCUGCCGAAACGGCGCCGUGCUGGGGAUCGUGCAUCUUCUCCAUCCCGAUUCAACCAGAGACCUGAAAAUCUGCAACAAAUCCGAUCAUGACCCCGUCUCUUGCCCACGAUCUCGGUCGUGGAUUCCAUAACAGUCCUGCAAGGGCAGGACUGGUUGAGGGGCAAUCUUCUCUAUAAAAGGGAGAAGAAAACCCAACAGCAUGGAGGAGGACUUUGGGGGACAAAAAACCAGGAACGAGAGACCGAAGACCGGAACGAAACAAAGGCAGAGCAGAGCAGAACCAGGGGGAAAAGGGAUCACAACCCAGAACACAGAGAAGAGGAAGAAAAACUGGAGGAGAAGACAGACCCAAACCAGACAAAAAAUAAAAAACCCAGGGGAAGACAGUGGCGGGUUGAAACAGAGGAAAGGGAAGGCAGAGUUCCUUCAUAACUUCGACAGCCGAAAACAACAAACGAAAACCGGAGGGAGCACAGGAGAUCGAUCAAAUACCAAAAGCAAGGGAACCAGCCAUUCGCAGAAUCACAAGAACAAAGAGGAAAGAAGGAGACAAAACGUGCAGCAGAAUAAAAAAGGAAGAACACAAACAGCAAGCCGUCACCUUCAUCAUCACCGAAGCAAAGGAAAGCAGAAGAAGGAGCAGAGGAGAGGAGGCAGCGCCGGCCAGCCAGAGUUCUUUUUUCUUUUUUUAAUUUUUUAGUUUUGUUUAAGACCAUUUUACUAGUAUUUAAUAAUAUAAAUUCAAAACAAAGUUCUUAUGGUUUAGACUUUUUUUAGUAGAAUUUUAUCUUUCAUCAUGACCAGUCUCCAUCUAGCUGAACUUUCACUCUAGAAUUUCUUUUUUUUUUGAAAAUAGAUUGUGGCAUCUCACUUUCAAUCCCAUAAAGACAGAAAUAUUUCACAUUUGCAUGAGCUCCCAAGUGUAAUAUAUUAUGCCAUUAUGGAAUAUCAAAACAACAAUAAUAAAAAUACUCAUUCCAUUAUGAUGUUAUUGAAAUUCUACAGAAAAAUACAGGAUUUUCUUAAAAUAAACACUUAGUCUUUCUGAUGCUGAAUACAAAUCACAACCAAACUGAACAAAAAAACAAACAAACAAGGCAGCACACAGAGUUCUUGCCACACCGGUACAUUUUCCACAUCCUCAAAAGCUUUGUAGAGAAGAUGAUCCUUUGUUUAUUUUUUUUUUCCUAUUCCCAACUCUUCGAUCUUCAAUCUUCACUCCUCCUCCAUGUAGCCAGCUUGUCGAGAGGAUGUGGAAAAUUUCUCAAAUUCAGACAUCCACUGACCUCUGCGUAUUGUAACGAAGGCAUAUCCUCUUCCACCUUUUUCCAGUCCAGCUUCAAUUUUUGCAGGACCUUAAAACAUAGACCUUCAAUGUUCCAAGGAAAAUCUCUUCCAUCUACAGACAGAGGACUUGUUUGGAAGUCAAUGAUCUCUCCAUUUUCAAUACAAAUGUAUUGCAAUUUAGAAAGCCUUUCAGGAUUGAUCCAUGUAGGAAGAGUAUCUUGGUGAUAACGCCUGAGAUACAACUCUUGGAGACUUGGAGGAGGUGAAAGGAUAUUAAGCAUCGUAGAGAUAAUGUUGUCUUCACAAUCUUGGGCAUCAAUGGCUAGUACCUUAAGCUUCUUGAGCUUCAAGAGUACCUCCCUUUCAUUUUCCGUAAUUUCACUGUCCUUGCCGAUACUCAUUCUCAGCACUCUUAGGUGGACAAGUUUUUCAAGAUCACAAAACUUGCAACUUGCUGCUGAUCUGCUAUUGGAUGCCACUUUGAAUCCAGACAGUUCUUGAAGAUAGGAGAGCCUUUCAAUCCCUGAAGGUAGGUAUUGGAAACAAGAUCCUAAAUCCAAGACCACCAACUUUUUCAAAGAAGUGAUUUGAUCUAUUUUGCCUAGUUCAUUGAGUCCAGCAAAAACCAAAAACUGAAGGUUGCGGAGCUUUCUGAACGAAUAUGGUACUUCUUUAAGGCCUACAAUACCACUUAGAUUCAAAUAUGCCAAGCGUUUAAGAGAGGAAAUCCAUUCCACGAGUUCCUCUGUGGAGAUCUUCUCCAACUUAGUCAGGGAGAAAUCCAAC
rnacentral:lncRNA from 1 species